AAACAUCAGGGAGGUGACACAGACUCGACAGACAAACAAGAAAGACUUACAAAACAAAAACAGAGUUUCACAAUUCUCACAAAAUCUGGACAGUGAAAGGCACAGGCAGAAUCCCACACAGAGUCAAUGAAAGCAGAUACUCAGAGAAUCAUCCAAACAGUUCAGUACAUGGAAAACAAUCAAUUAGUUCAAGAGAUGAAUCAAAAGCAACAGAGCCUCACAGAUGCACACAAUCAGUGUUUCUCUCAAGUGAUUAAGUAAAUCAAUGUCACUCAAUGCACUAAAGAAAGCAAACACAAAUAGACUUGGCAAGCCUCUAAUAUCAACACUCAAACACAUACGCAUGUUCAAAUCAAAAGGUCUUUUCAUGGUUGUAAUGGGGCCAAGCACAAGGGAGGAUACAUCUGGAUAAGAAGCUACAAACCAUAAGGAACAAAGGAGCAAUGGGGAACAAGUGUAAACACAUUCAAACACACCCACAACCUCUAAUUCCAUCCUCUUCUUGACUCCAUUAUUCACAAUUAUUCACAAUUUUUUUUCAUUUUUCACUGGUUUUCUGCUCUCUUUAUUUUCUUUUUUAUUUUUUUUUCAUCC
rnacentral:lncRNA from 1 species